rnacentral:rRNA from 1 species
CCUACGGGUGGCAGCAGUGAGGAAUAUUGGUCAAUGGGCGCGAGCCUGAACCAGCCAAGUCGCGUGAGGGAAGACGGUCCUAUGGAUUGUAAACCUCUUUUAUCUGGGAGCAAAAGACUCCACGCGUGGCGUUCCGAGAGUACCCGAAGAAAAAGCAUCGGCUAACUCCGUGCCAGCAGCCGCGGUAAUACGGAGGAUGCGAGCGUUAUCCGGAUUUAUUGGGUUUAAAGGGUGCGCAGGCGGAAAGUUAAGUCAAGGGGAAAAUUUGGAGGCUCAACCCUUUCGGUGCAGUUGAAACUGGUAUUCUUGAGUACACGAGAGGUAUGCGGAAUGCGUGGUGUAGCGGUGAAAUGCAUAGAUAUCACGAAGAACUCCGAUUGCGAAGGCAGCAUACCGGACCUCAACUGACACUGAUGCACGAAAGUGUGGGUAUCAAACAGGAUUAGAUACCCCAGUAGUC